UACAGAGGGUGCGAGCGUUAUCCGGAGUUACUGGGCGUAAAGGGCGUGUAGGUGGUUGAGUAAGUCUGGCGUGAAAUUUUUCGGCUUAACCGGGAAAGGUCGUCGGAUACUGCUUAACUAGAGGACGGUAGAGGCGUGUGGAAUUCCGGGUGUAGUGGUGAAAUGCGUAGAGAUCCGGAGGAACACCAGUGGCGAAGGCGACACGCUGGGCCGUACCUGACACUGAUGCGCGACAGCAUGGGGAGCAAACAGG
rnacentral:rRNA from 1 species